UGAAAGGUAAAAUCUCAUAGGAUUAAUUUUCUACCAUUAUGAGAUAAAAUCUUGUGCAACUUCAGCUUAGCUGAAUUGGAAAGAAGACACUUCCACCCCACCGCACGUCCAAAUUCAGAAAAAAAGUAAAUUUUUGCACAUUUUAAGUACAGCUCACCUCUCCUAAGCAAAAUAGUUUUUGUUCCCAUGUUGUAUUGCAUUAAACUUUUUUUUUAUUAUUCCUUCUUCAUGCCCUCUAGAAAAGGUAGUUCCUUCUUAGGGUUGUUCCUGCAAUAAUUUUGAAUUGAACUCAGUUUGUUCCAGGUGGCUUUUGUCACUACCAAAACACUGUGAGAAGAAUCAGUCUGCAAAACUGUAAGUCAUCUUAUUCACAUUGAGCUUAUGCAUUCAUCUUCUUCCAAGCUCUUUUUGUAGUAGGCUCUAGAGUCCUGCCAGACCUGUCCACUCUGUCAUGUACUGAAAAAAUGAAACAAGCAAACAAACAAAAAAAGCCUUUGAUCUAAAAACAACGGUCAGAAAGGUACAAGUAAUCACGAUGGGUUGUUCUUGUUUCGGUUGUCUUGACUCCUACCUGCACAGCAAAAGGAGGAUGGCCCAAGCUGUGUCCCGGGGUGGCUGGAGCACAGCCUCACCAUCCUGAUGUGGCCUCAGGGAUGCAGCCCUGUCCUUGUGCUGACAUACAAAGCGUGAGUGAAAGCCUGGGCCAAGCAGCAGACCCAGAGCUGCAAAAUGCACCGCAGUGUCUUCUGAUAUUUGUAAAAACUGUCAGUAGUACAGUCACUCUUACUUCACCCUUUGGCGAUGGUACUUUUUCACGUUGUAAGCUCAGUGAAGACCCGUGCAGUGCCUGCCAAUGGGUGAAAACAGGGUAUGAGCGAUUACAAAGCCUGGCUCCGUGGCUCAGACUUGUCUGCUAUCUGCCUCCCAUCAAUGUGAUCCAUCUGGUGGACAGCAGUGUCAUAGAGCAGAACAAGCCAGGGUUGGAAACGGAGUCACUGGACGUGCUGCUGUCCACAGAUGCUGCCUCUCUGGAGGAUGCAUUGCUGCCUCCGUGUUCUCUUGUUCUUGUGCUUUGGUUUUGCCUCAGGUUGAAAGGUGUUACGGACCCUCUUCGUCUAGCAAAUGCUUGUGCUGAGAGUUUGCACACAGAUGCAGAAGUUGGCACGUUGACCCUAAUUAACUGGAUCCAGUCCAUGGUCUUCACGUCACUUGGCCUUAUUAAAUGUGUGCAUCUGUGAAAAUUCCCCAUACUAAUUCCUCAUUCUAACCAGCGUCUAAAUAUUUCAGACAGAACAAGUAAUAAAUUAGACUGAGGAACCA
rnacentral:lncRNA from 1 species